CCUACGGGGGGCAGCAGUCGAGAAUCAUUCACAAUGGGGGAAACCCUGAUGGUGCGACGCCGCGUGGGGGAAUGAAGGUCUUCGGAUUGUAAACCCCUGUCAUGUGGGAGCAAAUUAAAAAGAUAGUACCACAAGAGGAAGAGACGGCUAACUCUGUGCCAGCAGCCGCGGUAAUACAGAGGUCUCAAGCGUUGUCCAGAAGCACUGGGCGUAAAGGGUGCGUAGGCUGUUUCGUAAGUCGUGUGUGAAAGGCGCGGGCUCAACCCGCGGACGGCACAUGAUACUGCGAGACUAGAGUAAUGGAGGGGGAACCGGAAUUCUCGGUGUAGCAGUGAAAUGCGUAGAUAUCGAGAGGAACACUCGUGGCGAAGGCGGGUUCCUGGACAUUAACUGACGCUGAGGCACGAAGGCCAGGGGAGCGAAAGGGAUUAGAUACCCUUGUAGUC
rnacentral:rRNA from 1 species